AAGGACACUCGAUGGCUUGCCCGAGGCCCCGGGGACCCAGGAAAGAACCCCGGUUCCUGCCUUUCAGACACGGCUCUCCCACCCUGUCCCACUCUCUCAGCUCUCUUCCCCUCAGCGGGGCUCCAGGGGUUGGGGGAGUAGCUUUCUGAGGGAGCGAGGAUGGGCAGAGGUGACCCAGUGAUGAUAAGUGGCUUCCUGGCAGCUGUGCCCACUUGUAUUUGAGCUUGGGGUGGGCCCCUCCACUUGGUAAGGGCCUGGGAGAUUAGGGCGCUUUAUCACGGCCGAGGGUGACACGGGCGGAGCUGAGCCCGGAGGACCGGAGCAGCCUGGGUGGCUUCCCCAGGGGAGGUGUGGGAAAGGAAAAGCAGAACCAAGCAGCACCCUUUGCAACCACACAGGCUGGAGCCCCAGCUGCACGGCCAGCACACCACUAGGACUAGGACGGGCGCUGGCCUGCUUUGGGUCUGCUGGGUGUUUCCUUCCUGCUCCUGCAAGGCCUCCCAGCCCAGCAGGGCAGCACCCGUGCCUAACCCCCGCUGUUCAGUCUAGCCCUAUUUUUGGAGCUAGCUCAGGGGUGCCUUUUACUAUUUUCUUCUUUUUUUAAGUAACAAAAGGGAUAUGUUGAAAAAUUCAAAGUAUGUGCGUGUGAAUGGAAUGAAAACUUCAAACUCUUUCCCUCUAAUUUCACUCCACGUGGGUGACCACCGUCCAGUCUUUUCAUCCCUUCCAGACCUCCUUCUGCCUGUACAAACACGCAUCCUAGACACGGACACAGUGUUUUAAACAAAUGGGAUCAUAUUCACAUACGGUUCUGCAAAUUCCUUUUUUCACUCAACAAUAAAUAUAUCAUGAACAGCCAGCCUUGCUCAGACAGAGGCUGGUGCAUUUUUCUAAUUUUACUUUCUCAUUUUGAGACAUUCAAAAUUUACAGGAAAAAACACAAAGAGCAACAUAAACAGAGAGGAUUCAUUUUAAAAAUUAGUAAGUUCCUGCAAUUGCUCUCCUUCUCCCCAGUGGACUUCUCCCUAAUCACCCUGGUGUCAGUGUGGGACCCACCUCAGCCUGUGCAGGGAGGGGAAGAGCAAGGCUCUGCUGAGCUAUAUCUGCCCAUGGCAGGCCUUUCCACGGAGGGGCUCGCUGGCUGCCUGCAAGAGAAGCAGCGCAGAAGCUGAGCCUGCAGGCUGCACGUCCUCCAAGAGGCCACUCCAGGCUGGGGAGGAGCUGUUCCGGUUAGCUGCAGGUGACGGGGAGUGGCGAGCUCAGUGAAAGUGCAAUUCUUUGCAAUUGUUUCCCCUUCUGGAAAUCCAGGGGCCAGUGGUUUGCAGGGACAGCUGCCUUAUUGAGGCACAGGGAACUUGAGCUCCUUCCUCACCAGCACAUUCUCUCUGGAGACUCUGCCCGGGCCACCCACAAGCGUGUGGCUAACCCUGAUAGCCGGCCCCUGUCCCAGAAGGAGUGCGUGCUAAUCCUGACUCAGGGGCAGAGACCGGAGCCCAGGUCCGAGCUGCUAUCUGCACUAACCAGACGGUGCCGGUGCUGGGCAGAAGAAACAAGGGCGACUGGAGAGAGCGCCAGGGAAGGAGCAAGUCUCCGCCCUGGAGUCGGGAUCUGCAGAGCCAGGGGAAGAGGAAGGGCGAGCCACCUCUGUGCGGGGUCUUCUAAACACAGUGACAGCAUUUCGGCUGGAGCCGGACCCCCCAGGGCCUCACUGGUGCAGGCACUGGAUGUGUGUGCUUUCUAACACCCACAGCGCUGGGAAGGAAGCGUCUCCCUCCCCGUUCUGCAGACGUGUAAACUGAGGCCUGGAGGAGUGAGGGAGCAGGCCAAGGUCCAUACAGGUAACUGAGUUGUGGGGCCAGGAUUUGAACUGAGAAUUGUGGCUGUUCAGAUGUGUCCCCUCCUAAGAUUCUACAUGGUCUUCUAAGCCUCCUUAAAAUGAUGUUUGCAACUAAAAUCAAGUCUUAAUUUUCGACACGAAGAAUUACUCACUUGGUAAACUAUCUACCACAAAUGAAAAAUUAUCCUUUCAUUGACCCUUCUUAGAUUUCUUAUUCUUUCACUUUGCGAAUGUGUUUAGGUAACUGUACGCGGAUUUUGAA
ensembl:lncRNA